GCAGCGGGGGGCUCCCGGGGGGCGGCAGGGGGCUCACCGGGUCUCCUGGUGGGUGCCCAGGCAGCGCACACAGCAGUAACGUGCCCCACAGCUCACACAGGUGUAGUGGGAGGGGAGGCCGCAGACGGCGCAGAAGGGGCGCUGGGGGGGCUGGCAGUUCCCGGGGGGCAGUGGGGGCGGCGGGGGGCUCCCGGGGGGCGGUGGGGGGCUCACCGGGUCUCCUGGUGGGUGCCCAGGCAGCGCACACAGCAGUAACGCGCCCCGCAGCUCACGCAGGUGUAGUGGGAGGGGAGGCCGCAGACGGCGCAGAAGUGGCGCUGGGGGAGGCUGGAGGGGGCCGCGCAGGCCGUCAGGUAGUUGGGGCCCUCGCUGGUGCUCAGGUUCUGGGGGGCAGGAACAGUGUGAGC